rnacentral:rRNA from 1 species
AUUGAACGCUGGCGGCAGGCCUAACACAUGCAAGUCGAGCGGAGCGGCGGACGGGUGAGUAAUGCCUAGGUAUCUGCCUGGUAGCGGGGGAUAACGUCAGCAAAUGGGCGCUAAUACUGCAUACUAUCAGAUGAGCCUGGGUCGGAUUGGCUAGUUGGGGGGGUAAGGGCCUACCAGGGCGUCGAUCCGUAACUGGUCUGAGAGGAUGAUCAGUCACACUGGAACUGAGACACGGUCCAGACUCCUACGGGAGGCAGCAGUGGGGAAUAUUGCACAAUGGGCGAAAGCCUGAUCCAGCCAUGCCGCGUGUGUGAAGAAGGUCUUCGGGUUGUAAAGCACUUUAAGUUGGGAGGCGUUACCAGCAGAAGAAGCACCGGCUAACUCCGUGCCAGCAGCCGCGGUAAUAC